rnacentral:rRNA from 1 species
AACGAACGCUGGCGGCAGGCUUAACACAUGCAAGCCGAACGGGCCCUUCGGGGUCAGUGGCAGACGGGUGAGUAACACGUGGGAACGUGCCCUUCAGUUCGGAAUAACCCAGGGAAACUUGGGCUAAGACCGGAUACGCCCCUUGGGGGAAAGAUUUAUCGCUGAAGGAUCGGCCCGCGUCUGAUUAGCUAGUUGGUGAGGUAAAGGCUCACCAAGGCGACGAUCAGUAGCUGGUCUGAGAGGAUGAUCAGCCACACUGGGACUGAGACACGGCCCAGACUCCUACGGGAGGCAGCAGUGGGGAAUAUUGGACAAUGGGCGCAAGCCUGAUCCAGCCAUGCCGCGUGAGUGAUGAAGGCCUUAGGGUUGUAAAGCUCUUUCGUCCGGGACGAUAAUGACGGUACCGGAAGAAGAAGCCCCGGCUAACUUCGUGCCAGCAGCCGCGGUAAUAC